rnacentral:rRNA from 1 species
AUUGAACGCUGGCGGCAGGCCUAACACAUGCAAGUCGAACGAGUGGCGGACGGGUGAGUAAUGUCUGGGAAACUGCCCGAUGGAGGGGGAUAACUACUGGAAACGGUAGCUAAUACCGCAUACCAUCGGAUGUGCCCCGGUGGGUUUAGCUAGUAGGGGGGGUAACGGCUCACCUAGGCGACGAUCCCUAGCUGGUCUGAGAGGAUGACCGGCCACACGGGAACUGGGAAACGGUCCAGACGCCUACGGAAGGCAGCAUUGGGGAAUAUUGGACAAUGGGGGCAAGCCUGAUGCAGCCAGGCCGCGUGGAUGAAGAAGGCCUUCGGGUUGUAAAGUACUUUCAGCAAGGAGGCGUUACUCGCAGAAGAAGCACCGGCUAACUCCGUGCCAGCAGCCGCGGUAAUUC